CCCUGCCGCUCUCCCACGUGGGCGCGGUGUGGGGGAGGGGAGGGCAGCGACUGAGGGCGACCACCUCCCUUAGAGGGGAGAAGAUGAGGAGGAGGAAGAAGAGGAAGAGGAGGAGGAGGAGGAAGGCUUCGCUGAGGCGAAAGGGGCGGAGACCCCUCUUCGAGGCUUUCUACCCGGCUCUGUGAAGACGUUGGAAGGGUGUUGUAUUUGCAUAUUUGUUAGCCGCUCGAGGAUUGGUCGGAAACGGGAGGUCCGCGCCGACUAACGGGGGAGGAGGAGGAGGAGGCAGGAAGCUACAGAGUCGGCUGAGCGAGGAGGCUUAAGGAGGGAGUUGGACUUCAACUCCCAGGAUUCGCAGCGAGGCGCGCUAUAGAGUCUGGGAGUUGAAGUCCAGGGUGGGGGGGCGUGGCAGGUAGAAGAGGCAGAGCGAAGGAAGGUGGGCUGCCUGCUCCGGAUUUUUCCACUUUUUUGGUGGGUUUUUUGUUUUGUUUUUUUGCAUUUUUGGCAGCCCCUCCUGUUAUUAUGAUCUUGAAAUGAUCCUGCUUUAACUCUUCAUCUGAGUAUAUUCGACUUCCUGUUCCAACUUGCUUAGCUUUAUAAGCCAAGAUGGAAAAAUGAUGGAUGUACGAUUGGCUGGGCUUUUUGCACGGUCCAAAUCCAAAGAUUUACAAGAUACAUUUCCAGUUGUCAUGGCCGAAUAGACAACAAGUAAUGGACCAGAAGGGGCUGCCCUGGUGCCCGUUGGCUGGACACUAUAAAGGGUGACAUCGGGAUGACCAUGGCAGAUCUGAAGGAGGCUGUGGGAAACCAAGGGGCAUGGAGAGUGGUGAUCCAUAGAGUGGCUAAGGUUUGGUGGACAUGACUGAAUGGCUGACAACAAUCUCAAUGGACUAGAACAGGGGUCUCCAACCUUGGUCCCUUUAAGACUUGUGGACUUCAACUCCCUUCUCUGGGAGUUGAAGUCUACAAGUCGUAAAGGGACCAAGGUUGGAGACCCGUGGACCAGAAGGAAGCGGUGGCAUUGCUUGAGUAUUUAUAGGUAAUCCCAGGGUUGCUAUUCAGCAGGUUCUGACAGGUUCUGGAGAACCGGUAGCGGAAAUUUUGAGUAGUUUGGAGAACAGGCAAAUACCAUCUCUGGCUGGCCCCAGAGUGGGGUGGGAAUGGAGAUUUUGCAAUAUCCUUCCCCUGCCACUCCCACCAAACCACGCCCACCAAGCCACACCACGCCCACCAAGCCACACCCACAGAACCAGUUGUAAAAGAAAUUGAAUUCCACCACUGGGUAAUUCUCAACUUAUGACCACAGCUGGGACUGGAACCUCCAUUGCUAAGCAUGGUUAAGGGACUGGUACCUGGUUUUCCACCCUUUUUUGCCAUUACGUGGAUCACCACGGUCAUUAAGUGAAUUGCAGUCGUUAAGUAAAUCUGGUUUGUCCCACUGAUUUUUCUUGAGGGAAACCAGCUGGGAAGAUCACAUGUGGUGUUCACACGAUCCUGGCAUGCUGCAGCCAUUGCUAGUUUCCAAACAUGUUUGAUCACGUGGCGGUCAUAAAUGCGGGGACCGGUAGAAAGCUUUCAUCAGUGUCACAAUUUCAAAGGAUAAUUAAAUAAAUGAUCAUAAGGUCAGGACUACCUGUCUUGUGUGAGGACGGGUGUGAGGUGAGAGUUGCAUACUUUCUUGGAAAUUGGGUCCUCCAAAUUUUUUUCUCCAAAACGUAUGUUAUUGCCUAGUUUAAUUUAUUAUAAUAAAUAAAAUUUCCCACAAUGUAAUUCCGCAUAUUUUAAAAAAUAAACAAAAAGCUUUGCCUGAGA